rnacentral:rRNA from 1 species
GGAGGAAGGUGGGGAUGACGUCAAAACAUCAUGCCCCUUAUGCUUAGGGCUACACACGUGCUACAAUGGGUAGUACAGAGGGUUGCCAAGCCGUAAGGUGGAGCUAAUCCCUUAAAGCUACUCUCAGCUCGGACUGUAGGCUGAAACUCGCCUACAUGAAGCUGGAGUUACUAGUAAUCGCAGAUCAGAAUGCUGCGGUGAAUGCGUUCCCGGGUCUUGUACACACCGCCCGUCACACCACGGGAG